rnacentral:rRNA from 1 species
UACGUAGGUGACCAGCGUUGUCCGGAUUUACUGGGCGUAAAGAGCGCGCAGGCGGUCGUUCAAGUCGAGUGUGAAAGCCCCCGGCUCAACUGGGGAGGGUCACUCGAUACUGAUCGACUUGAAGGCAGGAGAGGGAAGCGGAAUUCCCGGUGUAGUGGUGAAAUGCGUAGAUAUUGGGAGGAACACCAGUGGCGAAGGCGGCUCACUGGCCCGGUACUGACGCUGAGGUGCGAAAGCGUGGGGAGCAAACAGG